rnacentral:rRNA from 1 species
AACGGUAUCACAGAGAGCUUGCUCUCGGGUGACGAGUGGCGGACGGGUGAGUNAUGUCUGGGAAACUGCCUGAUGGAGGGGGAUNACUACUGNAANCGGUAGCUAAUACCGCAUAACNUCNCAAGACCAAANAGGGGGACCUUCGGGCCUCUUGCCAUCAAAUGUGCCCACAUGGGAUUAACUANUAGGUGGGGU